CUACGGGAUGCAGCAGUGAGGAAUAUUGCACAAUGGAGGAAACUCUGAUGCAGCAACGCCGCGUGGAGGAUGACGCAUUUCGGUGUGUAAACUCCUUUUAUAUGUCAAGAAAAUGACGGUAGCAUAUGAAUAAGCACCGGCUAACUCCGUGCCAGCAGCCGCGAGUAAUACGGAGGGUGCAAGCGUUACUCGGAAUCACUGGGCGUAAAGGACGCGUAGGCGGGAUAUCAAGUCAGGUGUGAAAUCCUACAGCUUAACUGUAGAACUGCACUUGAAACUGGUAACCUAGAGUAUGGGAGGGGGAGAUGGAAUUAGUGGUGUAGGGGUAAAAUCCGUAGAUAUCACUAGGAAUACCUAAAGCGAAGGCGAUCUCCUGGAACAUAACUGACGCUAAGGCGUGAAAGCGUGGGGAGCAAACAGGAUUAGAUACCCUCGUAGUC
rnacentral:rRNA from 1 species